rnacentral:rRNA from 1 species
GUCGCUACUACUGAUUGGAUGUUUAAGCGAGACCUUCGGACACCUGGCAAAUGAUUUCGGUCGUUUUGCUAAGGGGGAAGUAGAUCUAGCUUAUGUGUCUAGAGGAAGUAA